rnacentral:rRNA from 1 species
AUGGAAUCAUUUCCACCAAAUGUGACGUUAAUAAGAGAUUUAAUUGGACCCAGACUCCAAUCGUGGUACAUCCUACUUCAACGGUUGUCCACGGUGCAAUUGUCACAUGGGUCUGAUGCAUUUCAAUGGAACCUACAUGGAAAUGGACAAUUCUUAGUGGAGUCUAUGUAUAAAGCGUUAAUCAAGUCUGAUGUGCCAGUUGAUAAUAACAAGAAGAUCUGGAAGAUGAAGAUACCUCUUAAGAAUAAAAUAUUUGCAUGGUAUCUUCAUUGCGGAGUCAUUCUUACUAAAGAUAACCUUAUCGAGAGGAAUUGGCAUGGAUCCGAAAUGUGUUUUUGUCAUCAUGAUGAGACAAUAAAGCAUUUAUUCUUUCAAUGCAAAUUGGCUCGGUCUAUAUGGUCAGUCAUCCGGAUAGCUUCUGGCUUGUAUCCUUCUUGUAGUGUUGCUAAUGUAUUUGGCAACUGGUUACAUGAGAUUGAUAACAGGUUUAGAACUCUUCUUAGGGUGAGAGCGCUUGCCGUUAUUUGGUCGCUUUGA